AUUAGUUGCAUCAUCCUAAUUUUGGCAGUGAUGUCUUGAAUGCUGCGAGUUUUUCUCUUCUCAAUCAUGUGCUCCUCGGUUAUUUCCUGCAUCUCCGUGUCCCCGAGUAUGGGUUGUAUCAAAAAUUAGAGUAGCUGAUUUUUUUUUGUAAAAUUCUAAGAGAAUUUUUUUUUGCUACCCGGUUGUUUAAUCAGGUAAAUCAUUGGUAGAAAAUAGAGAGCACUUGGAAGGUGAUAGUUGAUUGCAUCAGCAGCUUUAAAAUUCAAAUUAAGUAGACCAGUUUUUUUAGUGAUUUUGUAAUGAUUUAUUGUUCAGCUAGCUGCUAGAAUUAGUAGCUUAAGUGUAGGAAGUUUGUUUCAUUUAUAUCUCCUUUUAUGUUGAAGUUUUUGUAUUUAAGUCGAUCACUACUCAAUGAAAUAAUAUCAACCUUCUCCCAGUUAUUUUCUUUAUUUUACUGCUGUUUUGUUUUUUAAGAAAACAAACGUUUGAAACCAACAGAAAGUGACUGCUCUAAGGACAUGUCAUAUGGGACCGACUUCUACCUCUUGUUGGAACUCAGUAGAAGUAACAAACAAUAAACUUUAUUCAUUUAUAAGAUAAUAUAUCAAAAAAUUCUGCAUGUUCUUUUUUUUUUCUUCCAGUUUUUCAGUUUCUGCUAUAUUUUAGGCACAACUUGAACAUACAUCAUUGCUUCUAGUUCGCCCACUUUGUAUGCAUGAUGUUGGCAAAUUGUCAAAGUAUCCUUUUUCCUUUUACUAUUGGCUCAGAGGGAAGGUAGUCUUGAAUUCCCCACGAGUCAAGACCAUCCCCGUUUUAUGGUUGCCGGUUUUCUGUCAUCCUUUGGGAUUCAGCAAGACCAUUUGGAUAUGCAAAUUUAUCCAUCUCGUUCUACAUACUACAUAGGUAUACUGAUGCAAACAAAGUUCAUGACAUGGGAAGCCAAUUGUAGUAAGAUUUGAUUGUGUGUUAUGACAAUAUAAUAUGUAUUUACAGAAGAGUGUGUGAUUUGAGAGGAAAGGUAAAAACUUUGUUGACAUAUUGCACUAAUUUGGAUACACUCGGCAACAGCUCUGAACCAUGCUACUGCAAAGCAGGCCGUUGGGUAGUAAAGUGAUGAAGUAUGGUUUAUGCGCAGGACACGUGAUUACUUAUUAGUAGCGGAAAUCAUAUAAAGAAGAAGGAUGGUGCAGCAUUGUGGUUAGAGUCUCCAGAAAGGCCGUUGCUUGCGCUUUGUAUGGUUAGAUACCUGCUCUGUCUCUCGCAACAUUUCCCACAUCACACGAACAUCCUCAUAGCCACAGCUCUCGACAUCAUUGUGAAGCUUCAAAAGUCCAGCAGCUGCAACCAAACUUGUAAGUCAACUUUUUACUAUUCUAGACGACCUAUUUACUUGGCACGAUACAACUUAUAAUAUAGACUACACAGCAGGACUUGUAUAAACACAAUAUUUUAUGAGGUCAAUCAUAUUGAUUGGAGUUAAA